CUGGUCACAUUUCCUGAAAGACAUUCAUUCAGUUAGACAUUUUUUACUAGCAAAAUUUAAUUAAUUCUUGAUGAUAGAAUUUCAAGUUUAACAGGGUUCUUCUGGAAAUACCAUCAGAAUCUACAGUUGACUCUAAUAGGACUGCAGGUGAGCAAAAGGGUCAUAUUUUGGGCAUGCAGAUCUUUUCACUUGGCUUAAAUCAUACAGAAGGACUGACUUUGAUCAUCAUGAAUUAAAAUAAACUAUACAUUGAGAAGAGGAAAUUAGGUUAUUUUCAUGGCCUGGUUGCUGGAGUAGUUCGUAAAUAAAAUGAAUUAUUAGGUUUUUAAAAUAUCAGAGUUUUGUGCCAUAUCCAAGGAUUCUUGACCAUGUUACAGAACAACACUGCAAUAUCAUAAAAAAGUAUUGUGCCACUGGCAUAAACUCAAAGGGCAUUUCUUUAAAAAGCAACCCCUUGGGACUGUGGGUGAGAAUCUCUCUCUCACUCCGCUUUUGGCUACUGUGACAUUGGCCAUCACAUCUGCUCGUCAAGUCCCAAGCGAUAAGUCACUCUUGGUCUCUAAGGACAGAGGAUUUUACAUAAAUGUGCCUCAUUUACUAGCCAUUUUUCCUGCAUUGAUUAGUCACCAUUUUAUUUUGAAAACAGUGCUAAUGGCUAAGGUUAAUCCUGAGCGGUAGUGGAAAGUAACAAAAUGAACAUACUCCCGCUUUUUAAAGUUGUCCUACUGAGCACAUUAGCUUUUCGUGACUUGUGGCAUAUAAGAGAAUUGUUCAGAGGCAAGGCUGAGACUUUGUGUUUUGAUCUUUUACAUUUCCCUUUUAUUCUUUAGUUCUUAGAAUGGUAACAAAUUAUAUGUUAUUGAUGAUUUUACAGUGUGUAUAUUGGCCAGUGCAAGUAAUCCUACACUUGUAUUGAUCAGCAGCGAUGGCUCAUAAUCUAUAUGCAGCUGAAUAAAACCCUGAGAGGAGAGCUGGGAAGCCAUCUGUUUCCCUUGCUGCAGUGUGGGGAGAGCCACGACAAUUGUCGGGAGGACCUAAAGCGGAAAGAGAGAGAGGGAUGGAAGAUAAAGAAGAUAUGAAAAUUAAGGAUUCUCUAACAGACUUACACCAGCAGUCCAGCUGUGCAGGAGAAAGGCUGUUAUCUAGAAACCUGAGAAAUAGAUGAAAAAGACCAAGGUGGGAAAAUGAAGGCAGGGAGAUCCCAACGUUCUUGGAGGCUAAAGGACCCCAAGACUGUGAACAACUUAACCGUGGGAGAUGAGUUGUGCUCAGAGUUCCUGGAUUCAGUAAAUGCUCAACAGAGGGCUGAAGAAUUGAGUGACUGAAUGAAUGUCACUUGACUAUUUUACUCCUACCUGGCAGCAAUAGGUCAAUGGACAGGAGAGAAAAGACCAGGCUGGACAUGUGCCCGAGAGGGGCAGGCACACUAGGUAAGUCCAGAGAAGCCCUGAGGAUGACAGUUUUCAGGAGGCUCAGGGGUUGCGGGGAGACCCCCGGUCCAGGAGAUCUCAAGGAGAAUGCAGCAGAGGCUCAAUGUGUCCUACAGCCAGAUCAGGCUGAGGGGUGGCCUUGUCAUGGGGGCAGGUGGAGCGUGCCGGGAG
ensembl:lncRNA